rnacentral:rRNA from 1 species
GUGGGGAAUCUUAGACAAUGGGCGCAAGCCUGAUCUAGCCAUGCCGCGUGAGUGAUGAAGGCCCUAGGGUUGUAAAGCUCUUUCAGCUGGGAAGAUAAUGACGGUACCAGCAGAAGAAGCCCCGGCUAACUCCGUGCCAGCAGCCGCGGUAAUACGGAGGGGGCUAGCGUUGUUCGGAAUUACUGGGCGUAAAGCGCGCGUAGGCGGACUGAAAAGUUGGGGGUGAAAUCCCGGGGCUCAACCUCGGAACUGCCUUCAAAACUAUCAGUCUGGAGUUCGAGAGAGAUGAGUGGAAUUCCGAGUGUAGAGGUGAAAUUCGUAGAUAUUCGGAGGAACACCAGUGGCGAAGGCGGCUCACUGGCUCGAUACUGACGCUGAGGUGCGAAAGCGUGGGGAGCAAACAGGAUUAGAAACCCCGGUAGUCC